UAUUUAAUGCAUCUAUCGCUCAACUUCACUCUAGUCUUAUCAUUUUACAUUGUUGUAUCAAUUUUUAUGUGCAAAUGAAAUAUAAGCAUACCACACUAGGGUUUUGUAUUUAAUCAUUUAUGCCUCUGUCAUUAUGGGUUUAUAUGUUUUAAGCAAGCCAAGGUUGGUAGUGUAAGAAAUAAUGGAGAUUGAAUUACUUUAAACCCAAUGUUAGUUGGGUUGAAAUUGAUAAUAGAGGUAAAAACAGAUAUAGCAUCGAGGUGAAGUUCAACUAAUUUAUUCCUAAUUAUAAAUGAAAUGCAACACCAAUCAAAACUAUCUGAACAUUGAGCAAUGUACUUGAUAUGAUGUAUCAUGGUAGACCAUGGUAUUAUACAAUGGCAAAUUGACAACGCUAUAUUAAAUUCUGAAUUUUUUUACCAUGGUUCAACAAUAAAUGUGGAUUUUGAUUUAUCCUAUUAACCUAAAUGUAUUGGGAUGAUAAAAGGGACACUAUCUUUCAGAUUAGAUGAUAGCAGUUUUAGAGGACUAGUAAUUAAGGAUUGGAUGAUAAAAGGGGCACUAUCUUUCAGAUUACACGAUAGUAGUUUUAUAGUACCAGAAAUUAAGGGAGGCUUGUUUGUUGCAUUUUUGUUUUUUGUCAACUCAUCAAUAAAAAAUUGAAACCUUAACCUGAAUAUUCUCUUUAUAAUGUCAUUUGAGCACUUAAUCACUCGUUGCAACGACCGUUUCACUUCCUUCUACGCUACAAUGGCUGUGGCAAUUCAAGUACUUUUGGUAUUUUUAGACAAAUUCCCAUCCCUAUAUCUCUUUUCACCUAUUAGUGACACAUAUUGAAAUAUCUAGAAAAGUCAUUUUUCUUUUCAUCUCCAGAAAGUUCUCGUAAGUUUCCUGAUCUUGUUGGCAACCUGGUAUUUUUAACAUUAAGAGGCACUAAAUUGGGUAAUAUCAAUGGUAAAGCAAAUUAUGUAAAUGCUGGAUUGCUCUAAGGAUCAAUGCUUUUAGCCCAUAUCUAUUCAUGAUAAUUUUAAACAAAAUCAUAAAAAACAUAGAAGGAGACAUCCAUGGUGCAUGUUGUUCAUCGACGCUAUAGUGUUAGUGGAUACUUCUAAAGAAAAGUUGGUAACAAAAUUAGAAAUGUGGAGAAAUGCUUUAGUAUCAAAAGGUUUAAAAUUUAGUAGGACUAUAACUGAAUAUAUAAAAUGUAAAUAUAAUAAAGAGUUAGAUAUUGAUAAUGAAAUGAUCACACUUAAAAAUCCAAGGUUAUUCAAAGUAACCAUCUUUGAUAUCUAGGUCAAUAAUACUAAAGGAUGGUGGCAUAGCUAUUGAUAUAAUUAGUAGAAUUGGACAAAAUGGAGAUAUGCCAUGCUAGUGGUGUUGUAUGGGAUAAGAGAAUAACUUAAAAGUCAAAAGGAAAAUUUUAUAGAACAAUUAUUAGGUCAGUUAUAUUAUAUAUGUACCAGAGUGUUGGAAUUUGAAAAAGAAAUAAGAACAAUAAAUUCAUAUAACUGAAAUGAGUAUGUUAAUAUGGAUAGUAGAGUGACUAGAAGAGAUAGGUUACUAAUCAAUUGUGAGGGAGAAACUAGGAGUGGUACCAAUUAGUGAUAAGAUAAGAGAAAAUAAACUUAGGUGGUAUGGAGACAUACAACGAAGUCCUAUAGAUGCCAGUAAGAAGGCAAGACUAAUUUGUAUAGAAGGUAAGAGACAAAGAGGGUGAUGGAAAUUAAUAUGGGAUGAAGUUAUUAGAAAAGAUUUGCAUAGAAGAUAAAGGGUAAAGGGUGAUAGAAAUUAAUAUUGGAUGAAGUUAUUAGAAAAGAUUUUAAAAAGUUAAAUAUUAGGGGUAAGAUUACUUGUUAUAGAAAAAAAAAAAAAAAAAAAGGGGAAAAAAUACAAUUCAUGUGGCCGGGCCCAUUAGGGUUGAUUCUACUCUUAAAGAGAUUUUGGAUUUCUUUCAAGCUACUAGAUUGUAAUUACCCACUCCACCACAUGAAUUGAACCUGUGCUCAGUGUGGUAGCUUGCCAGUGCAUUUUGCCCCCUCCUAUGGCACACCCGCUCAUAAGGUCGUCACAAUCACCCCCCUCCCCUUUGGGGCCCAACGUCCCCGUUGGCCACACUUCCGGCUCGGUCAGACUCUGAUACCACUUGUAAAGACCAACUCCACCACAUGGUAUGAUAUUGUCCGCUUUGGGCCCGAAUCCGCAUAGUUUUGCUCUUUUGGGUUAAAGCGGGCUUAACCUAGCCGGAAGUGUGGCUAACGGGGAUGUUGGCCUCGGGGGGGUGAUUGUGACGACCUUGUAGGCUGGUGCAAGAGGUACUGGUAGGCUACCACACUGGGCACAGGUGCACAAUCCCACAUUGCUUGGGUGUGGAAGGGGAAGUGCUAUAUAUGUAGGUGUGUCCCUCCAAUUGAUAUGACCGUAUGAGGCCUUUUGGGGUAAAGUCCAAGAGUUAAAUAGUGCGGGCUCGAGCCCAAAGCGGACAAUAUCAUACAUGUGGUGGAGUGAGUCGUUACAAAUGGUAUCAGAGCCUGACCCAGCUGAAAGUGCGGCCAACGGGGAUGUUGGGCCCCAAAAAGGGGGGUGAUUGUGGUGACCUUGUGGGCGGGUGUGCCGUGAGCGGGUGCAAAAGAUACUAGCAGGUUACCACACUGGGCGAACUAAAAGUGUACAAUUCCACAUCGCCUGGGUGUGGAAAGGGGAAGUGCUAUAUAUGUCGGUGUGUCACUCUAAUUGGUAUGAGGCAUUUUUGGGGUAAAACCCAAAAACAAAAUCGUGCUGGUUCGGGUCCAAAGUAGACAAUAUCAUACCAUGUGGUGGAGUGUGACCUUGUCUAAUUUGAUUCUGGUUAAGAUAAAAUACUAGCGAUAUUAUGAACUGUGCUGUGACCCAUUUGAGAUAGAACGUAAAAAAAAAUUGAUUUCAAGGAUGGAGAUUGAUUUAAGAACACAGAAUUAGCCUGGUGUUCCUUAUGGUGUAAAGCAAGGCCUGGAGAACCAAUGGUGUCACCAGUAAGCUAAACAGUGGGAAAAUUAACCCCAUCCAAGUUAGCUGUUACACCCACGACUUUCAUAGUUGGAGUGUUUAUAGUGUCGUUUGAGCUAAACAUGAGAAACUUAACCCAUCUAAGCCAGCUGUUAUACCAUGGACUUCCAUAGUUGCAUGUUUUUUGAUUGAAGUUCACAUUGGUUCAUUUGAAGCAAGUGAAACCUUCUUAACUCUUAUAGGUUGUAGUUCUUAUAAAAAUGGUAGUUUUCAUUAUAAAAUAACUACUGGAUUUCUAGUGCAUUGGGGAAAACAUCCUGGCUUGGCUGAAAAAGCUUUUACAUAGCAAUAAACUGGAAGGCUCUGGUCUACGCGCGGCCAUGAAAAGGGUUUGAUGGGUCCAUUAUUGGAAUGACUUUUUGUAUUAUAACAUAGUAGGCGACCAGUGGGUUAUUGUUCUUUUUGUGCUUAUGUUACUUAUACUGCUUUUGGUACAAUGGUUGGUUUUAAGCAUCAUCCAUUUCAUUUUGUAUGUGCAAAAACACCAUUUUUUUUUAGCUGUCAAUAACAAGAGCUCGCCUGCAGCAGUGGCAUAUCUUUUCUUCUUCACUUCCUAAUUCUUCUGCUACUGCUUCGGCUCCUUGAGAAGUAGGCUCAAAAGCUGAAAGGGAAUUGUGAGCUCCAACACAGAAGUGGAAGAGUUCCCAGUUUUGUAUAAAGGGCCCUGUUAGCAAGUUUAGGAACCCCGCUUACCCUUCACCUAUCUGAUCCAGACGAGUUGCUAUGAGAUCAAGCCGGGGCCCUUCCUCUUUCUAAGAUUAUUCAGUGACUAGGAAAAACUGCAAAAGUUAUUAAAAACCAUGUCUUGCAGUAGGAGCUCAUGAUUUCAUGAAAGAAUCUAUAUGGAUUGUAAGCAAGAAACAUGCUAAGAAUUUGCUUGGUUGCCGUGAAGCCAUAGCCCUUAGAUUGCUUAGGAAAACCGGCUUUAUUUAGUAAACAUCUUUUCUUUCUUUGUGAUUUCCUAUCUAGAAUUAUUCCCUUGAUACAUAUAUUCUUGCUUUUUGUUCCUUAAGACCAUCAUUCAUACAUGUCUCAUGUAAGAUUUUUUUUU